CACCAGAGGCCACGCCCCAAAACGGAAGUGACGGAGGGGAGCUAGCGCGUCGAAGAUAGCUCUAUGGUUUUCCUCCCGUUCUUCAGUCGGGAAAUGGCCGCUGUGUAGUUACAACGAAGAUAAGUCCCGGGAACCUUGCUUCGGCGUGUCAGGAAUUUGAAUUUAGAGUUUACUGUCUGAGAACAUAUUCUCCAGGAAGAAUUUUACAGUAUCUCGAAGACUUCACUUGAUUGCUCUAUCCUGCAUAAAAUCCAAGGAGUAAAGAAAUGGGUCGCUCCAAUUCUAGAUCACAUUCUUCAAGAUCAAAGUCUAGAUCACAGUCUAGUUCUCGAUCAAGAUCAAGGUCACACUCUAGAAAGAAGAGAUACAGUUCUAGGUCUCGUUCCAGGACGUAUUCAAGAUCUCGUAGUAGAGAUCGUAUUUAUUCUAGAGAUUAUCGUCGAGAUUACAGAAAUAAUAGAGGAAUGAGACGACCUUAUGGGUACAGAGGAAGGGGUAGAGGGUAUUAUCAAGGUGGAGGAGGUAGAUAUCAUCGAGGUGGCUAUAGACCUGUCUGGAACAGAAGACACUCUAGGAGUCCUAGACGAGGUCGUUCACGUUCCAGAAGUCCAAAAAGAAGAUCCGUUUCUUCUCAAAGAUCCCGAAGCAGAUCUCGCCGGUCAUACAGAUCCUCUAGGUCUCCAAGAUCAUCCUCUUCUCGUUCUUCAUCCCCAUAUAGCAAAUCUCCUGUCUCUAAAAGACGAGGGUCUCAGGAAAAACAAACCAAAAAAUCUGAAGGGGAGCCCCAAGAAGAGAGUCCUUUGAAAAAUAAAUCACAGGAGGAACCGAAAGAUACAUUUGAACAUGACCCAUCUGAAUCUAUUGAUGAGUUUAAUAAGUCAUCAGCCACAUCUGGUGAUAUUUGGCCUGGCCUUUCAGCUUAUGAUAAUAGUCCUAGAUCACCCCAUAGUCCUUCACCAAUUGCUACGCCACCUAGUCAGAGUUCAUCUUGCUCUGAUGCGCCCAUGCUCAGUACAGUCCACUCUGCAAAAAACACCCCCUCUCAGCAUUCACAUUCCAUUCAGCAUAGUCCUGAAAGAUCUGGGUCUGGUUCUGUUGGAAAUGGAUCUAGUCGAUACAGUCCUUCUCAGAAUAGUCCAAUUCAUCACAUCCCUUCACGAAGAAGCCCUGCAAAGACAAUCACACCACAGAAUGCGCCAAGAGAUGAGGCUAGGGGACGUUCUUCAUUUUAUCCUGACGGUGGAGAUCAGGAAACUGCAAAGACAGGAAAAUUCUUAAAAAGGUUCACAGAUGAAGAGUCUAGAGUAUUCCUGCUUGAUAGGGGUAAUACCAGGGACAAAGAGGCUCCAAAAGAGAAAGGAUCAGAGAAAGGGAGGGCAGAGGGAGAAUGGGAAGAUCAGGAAGCCCUAGAUUACUUCAGUGAUAAAGAGUCUGGAAAACAAAAGUUUAAUGAUUCAGAAGGGGAUGACACAGAGGAGACAGAAGAUUAUAGACAGUUCAGGAAGUCAGUCCUUGCAGAUCAGGGUAAAAGUUUUGCUACUACAUCUCACCGGAAUACUGAGGAGGAAGGAAACAAGUACAAGUCCAAAGUUUCACUGAAAGGCAAUAGAGAAAGUGAUGGAUUUAGAGAAGAAAAAAAUUAUAAACUUAAAGAGACUGGAUAUGUAGUGGAAAGGCCUAGCACUACAAAAGAUAAGCACAAGGAAGACGACAAAAAUUCUGAGAGAAUAACAGUAAAGAAAGAAACUCAGUCACCUGAGCAGGUAAAGUCUGAAAAGCUCAAAGACCUCUUUGAUUACAGUCCCCCUCUACAUAAGAAUCUGGAUGCACGAGAAAAGUCUACCUUCAGAGAGGAGAGCCCACUUAGGAUUAAAAUGAUAGCCAGCGAUUCUCAUCGUCCUGAAGUCAAACUCAAAAUGGCCCCUGUUCCUCUUGAUGAUUCUAACAGACCUGCUUCCUUGACUAAAGACAGGCUACUUGCUAGUACACUUGUCCAUUCUGUCAAGAAGGAGCAAGAAUUCCGAUCCAUCUUUGACCACAUUAAGUUGCCUCAGGCCAGCAAGAGCACUUCAGAGUCAUUUAUUCAGCACAUUGUGUCCUUGGUUCAUCACGUUAAAGAGCAAUACUUCAAAUCACCUGCGAUGACCCUAAAUGAAAGGUUCACUUCCUAUCAGAAAGCCACUGAAGAACAUAGUACCCGCCAAAAGAGCCCUGAGAUACACAGGAGAAUUGACAUCUCUCCAAGUGCCCUGAGGAAGCAUACCCGAUUAGCAGGGGAAGAGAGAGUUUUCAAAGAAGAAAUUCAAAAGGGAGAUAAAAAAUUAAGGUGUGACUCUGCUGAUCUUCGGCAUGACAUUGAUCGUCGGAGAAAAGAAAGAAGCAAAGAACGGGGGGAUUCCAAGGGCUCCAGGGAAUCCAGUGGGUCAAGAAAGCAGGAAAAAACUCCAAAAGAUUACAAGGAAUACAAAUCUUACAAAGAUGACAGCAAAAAUGUAUUUGUCUUUUACUCGGCUUAUGGUGGAUGAGGACAAAAACUUUGGAAUAGCAAGCUAACACUGAAAAAAAAAAAUGACAAAUUAAUGUGUCCUAUUAUCCAGGCUACAUCAGGAGGUUGGACUUCAAUGCAGUGCAUUUCUAGAAACAGUUUGUUAAACAUAAAAGUAGAGAGCAAGAUCAUUCUCGAUCUUCAUCCUCUUCAGCAUCACCUUCUUCUCCCAGUUCUAGAGAAGAAAAGGAGAGUAAGAAGGAAAGAGAAGAAGAAUUUAAAACUCAUCAUGAACUAAAAGAAUACUCGGGCUUUGCAGGAGUUAGUCGACCACGAGGAACCUUUUUUCGAAUUAGAGGCAGAGGAAGAGCCAGAGGAGUUUUUGCUGGGACAAAUACUGGUCCAAACAACUCAAAUACUACUUUUCAAAAGAGACCGAAGGAAGAGGAAUGGGAUCCAGAAUAUACCCCAAAGAGCAAGAAGUACUUCUUGCAUGAUGACAGAGACGAUGGUGUGGAUUAUUGGGCCAAAAGAGGAAGAGGUCGUGGUACUUUUCAACGUGGCAGAGGGCGCUUUAACUUCAAAAAGUCAGGGAGCAGUCCAAAAUGGACUCAUGACAAAUACCAAGGGGACGGGAUUGUUGAAGAUGAAGAAGAGACCAUGGAAAAUAAUGAAGAAAAGAAGGACAGGCGUAAAGAAGAAAAGGAAUAAUAAACCUGACAUGAGAUUGCAACAAAGAGCAGAACUUGCACCCACUUUUUUUUUUUACCUGAUUUUUGUUUUCAAAUAAGAAUGUAAGCAUUUUACUUAAAUUUUACUGUUUGCAAGUAGUCUAUAGAAGUUUUGUUUUAAGUCUUCAAAUAUCUUGAAAAAAUAGUAGAUUGUAUGUUGAAAAUUGUACUGAAAUAAAGUAGAAAAUUGUUAAUGUACCCUAUUUGUAACUAUCAACUUUUAAAAAUAAUACUUUUACUGUUUUUGUUACAUGCAUUGUAAUUCUGCUUUGUCUAUAAGAUAUGGUCAAGUACAGCUCUGUGAAAGAUCUGAUUCUCUUCCCUCCCUGUUCGUUAAUGUUUAUGCUGAAGUAAACGUUAGCUCUACAUACAGAUUUCUGAAAAGAAGUUGUUUAUAGAGAUCACACCUAGUUAUUUUAACUCUAUAUAUCUGUUUUAACAUUUUCCUUAAUUCAAACACACUACAUUGUAGGGUGACUAAUUUUUGAAGUGUACCCCAGAAAAAGUUGUUACUUUGGUAAACGUAAGCUAGUUUAAUACUUCAGCAAAUGUUUAAGAAAAACAGCUUUGCCAAGAACUAAGAAAUACAAGCUCAUAAAAGUUAGAUUACAAAGUAUUAGUUUGUUUUGUUGUUUGUUUUUGUUUUGUUUUGUUUGUUUGUUUUUAUUUUGUUUGUUUUUUUUUUUACUGAGAGCAAGCAGUGGCCUAUAAAAACCACACUUAGGAGCCUUUACUAUUUGGAUUCAAAAUUCAGUGUUCUAUUUUUAUUUGAAAGUAUGAGUCAUGGUCUUAGAUAGCAGCUAUUCUAUGAGAGAGGAAACUGGUUUGUAAUAAACAGCAAAUAAAAACCCUAUUCCUACCGAACAUUUUAUUUUUAACACAACAAGACCUGUAAUCGUGAUGUGGUAUGGAAGAGGAUUAUCCUGCAAAAUAAAGAUGUGUCUGAUUUGAUAUCUUACAUAUUUAUUUGAUCUUUUGGACAGUUGAAAUAUUAGUUUGUAGUCUGACCAUAAAAAAUUGGCAAACAACAUACUGUUCAUUAGUUGUAUUUUAAGUAACUUGUUUUUCAAAUGUCAACAAUAAACGUUUUGACAGGAA